rnacentral:rRNA from 1 species
AUGUUCUUCACGGCCCCAAUGCCCAGCCACAUUCAUAGUGAAAAGAACCAUGUCUCUACAAAAAAAACAUACAAGGUGAACCUACUGUACUACCUGGUACCUACACAUGGGGUCGUCAAUGCCGUCAUCCUGCCUGUUAUGCUGCCAUAUCAAGUUUGGGUUCAAAGGAGUCAAGUCAAAAAUCCCAACAAAGCUAUGCAUGAUCGACGUCUCUGUUUCUAUUUAUGGUGGGCAAGGAGGAGAAGCGAUCUCUCUACCGUGGGCACCCUCUGCAGCUACUGCCGAAGUAUGAGCAAUCCCAGAUGCCUAGAUCAUAAAUCUCUUGCAAUUUUGGGCUUUUGA